GAGGAGGAGGAGGGGAAGAAAUGGACAGCUACCAUUUGCAGGCACAUGAACUCAUAGCUCUCUUAUCUAGUCUCAUUGGUGAAAUUAUGUUGGCAUCAAUGAUAAAGGCAGGGUGGCUCUGAGUCCACAUGCCUACAGGGCCUCCACCUGCCCCCAUCCCCCCACUUACUCAGCAACAUUCCCACCAGGUGCUCUGCUUGGACCCUCAUCAAGAUUCCUUGUCCCAUCUCUAUAAGGAAACUCAGACAAUAUUUUAUCAGCUGGAAAUUGAAAAGCAAGGUGCCAACUGGAAAACACCUACACCAGAGCAAACACAAAAGAAGAGACUAUCCUGACCCACCUGGUGGUCUGAAUGGAAUAACCUCUGCAAGGAAAGAGGCAUCUCAGGGGUCUCUUCAGACAGAGAGCAGCAUCCUGACAGGAUGGCUGUACAACCGGAGCCAGUAUGUGAUUAAAUGGACACACAAUGGAUAUGACCAUCUUGGAAGCAGAUGUCCUGAGCCUUCAGGAGGGUCUGAGCCCAGAGGAUUUGGGGCAAGGGCAGAAUGAACUUGUCCCUGGGACAGCAGGGCAGUGCUUGGAGAGCCCCAAGCUACAUCACACCUGGAGGCCAAACUGGCCUGGCCCCUGACUGGCCAUGCAGCCCCCUGGACUUCACUUGCUUUGUUUAUAAAACGGACAUAACAAAAUAGUUAACGUCUCCCUAUUGACCCUCAGUACAACCCCAGCUGUUGCUAUGACACUCCAGGCUCUUCAAGGAACACAACUGGGGACCCUCACUCAGUCAGGCCUGAUGCUCACCUACACUUCCAGCCUCACUCGUGGCGUCCCCUCAAGAGUCCUCCCUCCAACUCCCAGCCAGAAGCCCUCCCCAUUCCCUGUCAGGGCCCAUGUCUGACCAGUCUUCCCCCAUCUGCCUCCUGGAAUCCCACUCAUGCUUCCACAUCACUCCCCACUCCCUCGAGCCUUCUGAAGGCUCUGGUACCCAGGCGCCUGGUUUGGGUCUCAGCCACGGCUCCUAUGACAGCUUUCCUGGGAAGUAGGCAGGUGUGUCUCUCACUGAACUGUGACCCCGUUGGGAACAUGGCCACACCUGGGUCCCCUGGCAGGCCCCAGUGGAAGAGUCUGUGACAUACUGACCAACUGAUUUGGGGGGUCAGGGAAUUGGGACUUGGUUUCCUGUGUUCUUUUCCCAAACCAUCUCUUGACACAAAACCAGAAGUCCAGAAGUGCUCUCAGAACUGGACACUCAAAGACAGAGGGCUCUCGGACGUGAAGAAAGGCGGAGUGCCCAGAUUGGGCAAAGCCAUCACUAAGGCCCCUUCUGGCACAAAGCCCACAGUGCCCUGCCCAGAGACCAGCCCUCCCUCCCUUCUGAGCACUCAAUAGCCCAUUCCUUUAGGUGAGCCCUAAUCCACACCUUGGUCUUUGCCCAUGUGGUCAUCCCACUUGGCACACGGCCACUCCCCCACCCGGCCCCCUGCUCGGCACCUGCACACUGCAGCAUUCAGCAAAUUCACUCAUGAAUGAAUCCUCUGAGGGCAACCCC
rnacentral:lncRNA from 12 species